rnacentral:rRNA from 1 species
UACGUAGGUGGCAAGCGUUGUCCGGAUUUAUUGGGUUUAAAGGGUGCGUAGGCGGCUUUUUAAGUCAGUGGUGAAAGCCGAUCGCUUAACGAUCGAACUGCCAUUGAUACUGAGAGGCUUGAGUAUAGUUGAGGUAGGCGGAAUUUACGGUGUAGCGGUGAAAUGCGUAGAUAUUGGCAAGAACACCAAUUGCGAAGGCAGCUUACUGGAGUAUAACUGACGCUGAGGCACGAAAGUGCGGGGAUCAAACAGG